rnacentral:rRNA from 1 species
UGAGCAAUCUGCCUAGAUGUGGGGGGAUAGCCGGCCCAACGGCCGGGUAAUACCGCAUACGCUCUCCUGGUGGCAUCACCGGGUGAGGAAACUUUCGAGGCGUCUAGAGGAGCUCGCGGCCUAUCAGCUAGUUGGUGAGGUAAUGGCUCACCAAGGCUUUGACGGGUAGCUGGUCUGAGAGGAUGGCCAGCCACAGUUGGGACUGAGAUACCGGCCCAGAUCCGUACGGG